AAACGUGAUGAUGAAGAACUUGUGUCAUAUAUCCUUUUGGGACUCGACAUUGAGUUCAACCCACUCGUGUCUGCAAUUGUAGUGCGCAUGGAACCGAUCUCCAUGGGCGAACUGUAUGCUCAAUUGGUCGAUUUCGAGC